UAAGUCUGAAGGCCCUAAACGUGC
rnacentral:siRNA from 1 species